CCGCAACCCACUGGUGGAGGAAAAAAAGAAGAGAAAUCACCUCAGAGUUACGUCAGGAAAGGCCGCGUUUUGCGGAGAGGCCGUAGUCCCCGACCGGGCCCGACGUCCUCCUAGGGCGCGGAGCGUGACGGUUACUCACCGCUCUUCAGCCCUGGGGCAGGCGCCAAGCCCCUUUCCGCUCACACUCGGCUCGCGCAACCCGCAGCCUCCACUGCCGCUGUGAUUCCAUCCAUCUUGAAUUUGACGUCAUCCCACACCAGGGAUGAGGUCAUCGCAAGCAGCGCUCGUCACGGGAGAAUUGAACUUCAUCCUGUGAUGACUUAAUAGCUUGACCCCCAUCUGUGAAAGCAAACCUUGCUUGUUACCCUUCUCAACUCACCUCUGGGCUUCAGGUAUGUUGAUUCCUCACUGGAGCUACCCUGUAUCUUCUACCUUGUCCUGUCAUCUGUAAUUGCUCUGGGAUUCUGUUGCUUCUAUGCUCUUCCUGUCACUUCAACUUUAUUCUAGGGUUGAUGCUACACCUCUGUGCUCAUUAGUGCCUUUUGUGGGGUUUGUCUAUUGCCACCUGUAUGUGCCUUUGAAUUUGUCCCCCAUAGGCUUCAUGCCUGGCUGUGUGUGGAAGACCAACUCUGACAGUGUGGUCAUCGAUCUAAGGAGGGGAUGUGGGGUUGGUGAUAAUGUAAAGCAGGCGCACACUCACACCUACUUGGUGGAUGAAGCAAGCUUCAAUGAGCAAACUCUAACAAUGUCACACAUAUACAUACAUACACACAACAUACAUACAUACAUACCAAACAUAUAUUCCUACAUUCAUACACAUUCACGCACAUUUGGUAGAUGGAGCAAAGCUUUAACAAGCAGGCUCCAACAACUUUAUUUUUUCUUUUAGCCUUUUUAUACCAUCUAAGACAAAGUUAUCUGUGUAAGAAAACAAUUACCUCAUAGCCACAAGUUAUGUAUUCUCCAAAACCAGUCACCACAAGGACAUACUCUUCAAGAACAGAUUAAAAUCAUCACGCAAAGGAAAUUACAACAGAAUUAUUGAUUGUGUAUUCUUCUUUUGAAUCUCAUACCUAACUAAACAUUUCCCAUCUAUAAUUCAUGGUAAUCACAAAGCAAUAAUGCUUUUGUCAUUGUUUAACAACGUUUAAGCAAGUUUUUUUCCCUAUGCUUAGUUGACGAUUUUAUUUACCAAGAAACAGAUCAUCUACCUUACAUUUUCUUUUUGAAAUCUUGUUCAGCUAAACUGGCUAAUCAUCUAUUCUCUGUUUUUAUAGUCACAAUAAAAUUAUUUGCUCUUUAUUCAUAGCUUUGCCUUUUCAUGGUGCACCUGUGACCACAUCCCUAGAUCAUGAAAUCCAGGAACUCAAACUGUGCUGGUUUGAAUAGGUUUGCCGCCCCCUCUUCCCCGCCCCAGACUCAUGUGUUUGAAUGCUUGGCCCACUAGCAGUAUUAGGAGGUGUGGCCUUGUUGGAGUAGGUAUGGCCUUGUUAGAAGUGUGUCACUAUAGGGGUGGGCUUUGAGGUUUCCUUUGCUUAAGCUCUAUCCUUUGUGGAAGAGAUUCUCCUCCUGGCUGCCUGUAGAAGACAGACUCCUUCUGGCUGCCUUCAGAUCAAGAUAUAGAACUUUCAGCUCCUCCUCCAGCACCAUUUCUGCCUGCAUAGUGCCAUACUUCCAGCCAUGAUGAUAAUGGACUGUACCUGUGAAACUGUAAGCCAGCCCCAAAUAAAUGUUUUCCUUUAUAAGA